rnacentral:rRNA from 1 species
GACGAACGCUGGCGGCGUGCUUAACACAUGCAAGUCGAACGGAAAGGCCCUGCUUUUGUGGGGUGCUCGAGUGGCGAACGGGUGAGUAACACGUGAGUAACCUGCCCUUGACUUUGGGAUAACUUCAGGAAACUGGGGCUAAUACCGGAUAGGAGCUCCUGCUGCAUGGUGGGGGUUGGAAAGUUUCGGCGGUUGGGGAUGGACUCGCGGCUUAUCAGCUUGUUGGUGGGGUAGUGGCUUACCAAGGCUUUGACGGGUAGCCGGCCUGAGAGGGUGACCGGCCACAAUGGGACUGGGGUACCGCCCAAGAUCCUACGGGAGGCAGCAGUGGGGAAUAUUGCACAAUGGGCGGAAGCCUGAUGCAGCAACGCCGCGUGCGGGAUGACGGCCUUCGGGUUGUAAACCGCUUUCGCCUGUGACGAAGCGUGAGUGACGGUAAUGGGUAAAGAAGCACCGGCUAACUACGUG